rnacentral:rRNA from 1 species
CAUGUCCUUUAGGAUUGAAUUUAAGGUCUAGCCUGCCCACUGAGUUAUUAAAUGGCCGCAGUAUUUUAACUGUGCAAAGGUAGCAUAAUCAUUAGUCUUUUAAUUGAAGGCUUGUAUGAAUGGUUGGACAAAAUAUAUAUUGUUUCAUGUAAAUUAAUAGAAUUUUAUUUUUUAGUUAAAAAGCUGAAAUUUAAUUAAAAGACGAGAAGACCCUAUAGAUCUUUAUAGUUGUUGAGUUUAAUUUAUGAAGAAUGGUUUAUUUUUAAUUUAUUUAACUAUUUUAUUGGGGUGAUAGUAAGAUUUAUUUAACUCUUGUGUGAUUUAAUACAUAAAUUAAUGAUUAGUUGAUCCAGUAUUAUUGAUUAGUAAAAUAAGUUACCUUAGGGAUAACAGCGUAAUUUUUUUAGAGAGUUCAUAUCGAUAAAAAAGAUUGCGACCUCGAUGUUGGAUUAAGAGAUAAGUUUGGGCGCAGCCGUUCAAAUUUAAAGUCUGUUCGACUUUUUGAUUCUUACAUGAUCUGA